GUCAUGCAGCUAAUAAACAGCAGAACUAUAUGAGUCAAGCGUAGGCCGGCUGCAAUGGCUGCUCUGAAGCACUGCGCUGUCUCUCCCUCUGCUGCACUUGGAAUAUUUUAUGACCCUUCUCUCUUGACAUCUGGCUUCCUCUCCUUGACUCCUCUUUGAGAGCACAGACUCUGUCCUAUUCAUCUUCACAGCGCCAGCAUUUGGGACAGAGUCUGUCGCAUAGCAGGUGCUCAGUAAAAGGGAAGACUCACUAGUCUUUGGUUCAAGCUUGGAGGGAAGAGAUUUGACAAAGCCCAAACUGCUGGGGUAAAUGAAUUUUGUUUUCUGUUUUUUGGAGAAGUUCUAUUCUGGAGUCCCUGCCAUUUCCUCCAGGAUCUUGUUCCAUCCAUUAUGACUCUUUUCAUCUCCAACCACUUCUUCUCCUUUAGCUCUUUCCCCUUCUUUCACUCUGCUCCUUCUCACCAGGUACUGAACAGUCUCCCUGCUCUGCUCCCACUUACUGCUCCCAUUUGUUCAUUCAGCAUAAAUUUAUCAAGUGCCCAGAAGCUUUCAAGGUCAGCCAUGACCUCCCAAGCAUGACGUUCAAAGACUCCUCUCUCAGCCUUAGUGUCAGAGAAAGAUGAACACAUGGAGUCCCCUCUCCUCACAGUGACUCCAUUCCUCCCUGGGGUGCUUUUGACUUCAAGGAAAACUCUUCUCUCCCCCUCCUAAGUGCCACCGUUUUCCUAGUCACCUAGGCUCAAAAUCUGAUUUCUCUCCGAUGGCCAUCAUAUCCAGUCUCCUAUCAAAGCUUAAUUCUUUACAGUGUCUUCAAAUUUAGCACUUUGUUGUUUUCAUCAUCACUGCCCCUACCCUCGCAAUAACCAGAGCCAAGACCCAUUGUGCUUGGGGAUGGAAAUACAAUAGCAAGUCAAAGGAAGACCUGCCCUCAAGGAGCUUCUAGUCUAGUGAGGGGAGGGCAACAAACAAGGGGUUAAGUAUGGAGAACACACUUUUGUGGUUGUCAAGAGGUAGGGGGAGGGAGUGGGAUGGACUGGGAAUUUGGGGUUAAUAGUUAUGAACUAUUGCUUUUGGAGUGGAUUAGCAAUGAGAUCCUGCUGUGUAGCACUGGGAACUAUGUCUAGUCACUUAUGAUGAAGCCUGAUAAUGUGAGAAAAAAGAAUGUAUACAUGUAUGUGUAACUGGGUCACCUUGCUGUACAGUAGGAAAUUGACAGAACACUGUAAACCAGUUAUAAUGGAAAAAAAUAAAAACCAUUGGGAAAAAAGUGACCAAGUAUAUAGUUACCCAUUAUACUAAAUGCCGUGAAAUAAAUAAGAUGUAGUGAUAGAGGAUAAUAUAGUGAGGGGCGCUGCUUAGGGAUGGUGCCCAGGGAAGGCUGCUCUGAGGAGGUGAUGGUCAGGUUAGACCUGUAAGCUCAGCAGGGCCAGCCUGGUGGGGGAGGGAAGUAUUGAACACCCUCCAAGGGCCCCAAUCUGCUUUUCUGCAUUAUUUCCUGAUGUUUCACUACAAAGCCUUCUACACUUUCUUGCCUUUUUCCCUGUGAGCAAAGCCUCUGGAAUGUUUCUAGUCCCCAUCCCUAUGAAACUCUUCAAGUUCUAGCUCCAGUGGCAUAUUUCAUAAUGAUGUCACUAGUCUUUCCAGAAGAGCUUCCCUCUCCCUUCCUUUGCUCCACUCUAGCAGUUUAUAUGAACUAACUCGGUUCUUCCUUGUCCAUAAUGUGCUUCUCCAACUAGGCAAAAAAGCUCCUAGAAGGUUGGGAUUGCAUCUGGUGUCUCUUUGUAUCCCUAACAGCAGCUAAUACAUGCCAGAUGCUCAGUAAAUGAUGUUGAAUGAACUCCCCUUUCUGGGCCUCACGUCUUAAUCUAGGACAAAGUUGCACAGAUGAUCUCUCCAGGCUCUCCUAGUUCUAAUGCUUAUUGACAAUGAGAAAAUUGAAUUCACAAGGACAUAUACUAUGUGGAAUCCCUCCCAAAACGACAAUUCAUGCCUUUUGUGGAUUUGUAAUUGAAAAAAACACACAAAUGAACAAUGAUACAGAUGAUGUGGAAGACUUAACUACAGCUGCCAAGAGCAUGGCCCAAGAGCACAUUAGGUUUAUACAAGAUCAGACAUUACAAACAGAGGCCAGGUGCCUGCUGCAAAGAAGGGAGCAAAAGGACCCACAGGAGACAUGUAGGCUAGGACCUGGGAAAUUUUCUUCCAGUUGGAGUAGAGGUGUAGGAUCUCAGGAUAGCUUAAAAAAAUAGAAAGCUGUGUUAGAAAAGGGUGCUGCUUAUGAUUAUUUUCUGUUAGACAAAGAAAUGGCGCUAGGGAAAUAGGGAAUUGAAGUGCCAGAUGUACCACUGGAUGCCCUUCUAAGGAGAGUGUAGAUGCCCCGUGGUGGCAAAUAGCAGUUCCUGGUGGUGGUUCCCCCCAGAGCAUGAAGAAGAGGGAAUGCCAAUCAGAAAGUGCUUCCUGGGUCCAAGCCCCCUGCAGGCAGUGGUGCACCAGCUUUGGUUUUAAGGCAGAGAAGUUGCUGACCUUGUGUUUGUUAAACUCAAGGCAAGUUUUUCAGCUUCUAACUUCUUGAGGCAUUAAUAAGUUUCCCAGGCCUUUGGUUUAUCAGAGAGUUUGAAGUUUCCUGGGUCAAAUGAGGGGAAAACUGCCAAAAAGAAGAAAAGGUGCUCAAGAGGUAAAGGUAUAAAGAUCCUAAAGUUGUCAAGGGGGAACACCCCUCCACCACUGUUAAGUAGAGGAGACAAAAGACAAAAAGGGUGUUCUCUGGGAUCUACUAGAGUUCACUCUUUCUAGAGAAGAAAAAACAAUAGAGAAGGUAAAGGGGAAUGAAAACCAGAGUCAAGACUGAUGAGCAGAGGACUGCAAAACCACAGAAAAGAUGGUAAAAACCCCACAUUACUGUAGCUGCCCCAUAAAGGUGGGAAACCUUUCCCAGGGCUGGGAAACAGAUCUUUUGGAGACAGAGAAUGACAAGAGGGUGUCAAGAGUUAUUACGCGCAAGGACCCUGCCAGAGAGCAAGAGCCAAAUAAUAAUUGCAAACCUUCCGAAGCACUUACUAGGUGUCAGGCAUUGCUCUAUGAGCUUUGCAUAUGUUUUUUACUCAUUUACAACAACUCAAUUCACUAUUGUUAAGAUGCUUUAGAGACAAGAAACCAGGCGUGGAGAGUAGCUAUGUACUUCACCCAAAGUUGUACAGCUAGUAAGCAGGAGAGCAAGGAGUUGAACGUAGGCAGUUUGGUUCCAAGUUACAGCACUGUGCUGCCUCAUCUAUUUCUCACCAUUUCCUGCCUCAGUAUUUCUUUACAGUCUGCUUUUGCCCUCACCACUCCAUUGAAACCGCUCUCAAAGUCAGCAUGGCUUCCAAGUCACCAGAUUUUAUACCUCCUCAGAGAUAUACGAAGCUCUCUGCCAUAAUUGACACUGUGGAAACAUUCUCCCCACCCAGAUCUGAAACCUUUGCAUUGUCUCUGAUUAUGUAUAUUAGCCCUCACAUCCACCAUUGCUGUUUUCACUGCUAUUAUCCCGAUUGAUUCUUCAUUUUCAUUCAUUCAACCAACACAUAACUCCACGUGUCAGGCCCUGGAGAUACAACAGUGAGCAAAACAGAUAAGUCUCUGCCCUUAUAGAGCUCCCUGCUGAGGAGACAGUCAUCAAACAGCCUAUCACACAGGUGAUAUAUUUACAAACUAAGUGCUGUUCAUGAAAAGUAUGGGGCUUUAUAAAAGGGUGUAAUAGAGAAGUUAUAAUGACCUCCAUGUUAGUCUUCCUGUAGACUCUCCCUUUUCCAAUCCAGUCCACCCACUGUUGCCCUGGUUAAUGUCUCUGACUGUACUACUCUCCAGCUCAAAUUCCUUCCAUGGCUUACAGAAUAAAGUUCAAACUCCUUAGCCAGGUAUUGGGUGGUAAAAUAGCUGCCUAUCUCUAUGAUGGAACUAUAGAAUAGGGUUUGUUUUAUCUGGAACAUAGUUUAAAACACUGGAUUGCUGGGCUCUUGGCUAGGGACAGAAUUCUCUAUGAUAACUGGGAAAAUAUGUUUACCCAGAGCCUUGCUGGUCUGAUAAAGAGAACUUUAAAUUGAAAAUGGAGGGCAAGAGAGGAAAAAAUGACCUGAAAAUAUUAUAAAACCAAUUACUUUGGAUAAUAUCAGAUAUGACUGGAAGAGGUGCCCAUUCAGUCACAGAAGUGUACAUCUGGGAAGAGUCAGAACUAGAACUUAUGGCUUAAGUUGUUUCUGUAUCGAUGCACAGCCAUGUGCAUCGGGUUGAAUUACAUGAAAUUGCCAAUGGUCCACAGUUUUGACCUGCUAAAAUGACAACUUCAUAUGGUUCAACCUUAUAUGAAGCAAACCUGAAAUUUUAACUCAAGGAAAUAUCAGCUAAGAGGUAUCAUUAAGACUUGGAGGAAUGAGACUUACAACUGGAAUUUAGUAUCGGGAGGGGCACGCCAUUAAGAAGAAAGGUACCUUUGAGAAUGGGAGCUGGCAUUGUGCCGUAUGCAUAGAAAUCCAUAAAAAGGGGAGUUCCUGUCGUGGUUCACCAGUUACCGAACCCAACUAGCAUCCAUGAUGACGUGGGUUCAAUCCCUGGCCUCACUCAGUGGGUUAAGUAUCCAGCAUUGCUGUGAGCUGUGGUGUAGGCCAGCAGCUAUAGGUCCAAUUGGACCCCUAACUUGGGAACCUCCAUAUGCCAAGGGUGUGGCCUUAAAAGACACACACACACAAAAAAAGAAAUCCACACAAAGGGGACAGGGUCCUCUACAGAGUUUUGGUGAAGUUGAAAGGAGAAAGGACCAAGAGCCAUAGUGUACAUGUGUCACACAGCCCUUUACAAAAUGGGAGAAAUGUAUGAUAUAUUCCUUAUGCAGCUCAUAAAAAUGGCACAAGGCAAGAUGUGGUGGCAGUGAUGGAUUUUGUCCAGGGUCUCUCUGAGUUUCAUUUACCUAAAAGCAGAACAUUUCAAUUUUUUUUUACUUGCCUUGCUGACAAUAUUUCCCCUCAGAAAGUAAAGAAAUCCAAAAGAGAACUGUUUGCUUUCCAUGACCUAAUUCUGACCAAUAACGAAGAACUGACUGGUGAAGCAGAAACUUGAAGAGCAAUCAUAUUAGCUCAGGGUUUGUGAGAGCAUAAGGCUGGGCAUAGUAAGGUUUUUUGCCCUAGAAUCUAAGAAGGCAGACUUCGGACAGUUCAGAGAAAAGAAGGGUAGCAUGAGGGCAACGAAAGAGGAAUUUCUUUGGGGUCCAGUAGAUCUAGCUUUAACUUACGGCUCUGCCACAUACUAGCUGUGUGGUCUUAAGUGACCUAAACUCUUUGAGCUUCAGUUUCCUAUAGGAAUGACAGGGGUGGGAGGGAGAAAGAAAGAAAGAAGGAACAAUGAUAAUAGAAUGACACCACCUCCUUCCCUGGGUUGUUUCGACAGGAUGAUACACACGAAGGGCUCAGCACUCAGUAAGGAUGCAUUAACUGUUCAUUUUCUUGAGCUUUCUACUUGGCCACCUUCCAAAAGGGUCAAAAGGAACUCAGAAACCAAAUUUUGACCAGGUAAUUGUGAAGUAUUUUGAUAGCACUGGGAACUAUAUAUAGUCACUUAUGAUGGAGGAUGACAAUGUGAGAAAAAGAAUGUAUAUAUGUAUGUGUGACUGAGUCACCUUGCUGUACAGUAGAAAAUUGACAGAACACUGUAAACCAGCUAUACUGGAAAAAAAUUGAAAUCAUUUUUUAAAAAAAGGAAAAGUAUCCAAAGAAAAUGGGAGUUCCUGUCAUGGUGCAGAGGAAGUGAAUCUGACUGGAACCAUGAAGUUGUGGGUUCAGGAUCCAGUGUUGCUGUGAGCUGUGGUGUAGGUCACAGAUACGGCUCGAAUCUGGUAUUGCUGUGGCUGUGGUAUAGGCCGGCGGCUGUAGCUCUAAUUAGACUCCUAGCCUGGGAACCUCCAUAUGCUGUGGGUAUGGCCCU
rnacentral:lncRNA from 1 species